rnacentral:rRNA from 1 species
GAUGAACGCUGGCGGCGUGCCUAAUACAUGCAAGUCGAGCGAACGGACGAGAAGCUUGCUUCUCUGAUGUUAGCGGCGGGCGGGUGAGUCACACGUGGAUAACCUCCCUAUCAGACUGGGAUAACUUCGGGAAACCGGAGCUAAUACCGGAUAAUAUUUUGAACCGCAUGGUUCAAAGGUGAAAGACGGUCUUGCUGUCACUUAUAGAUGGAUCCGCGCUGCAUUAGCUAGUUGGUAAGGUAACGGCUUACCAAGGCAACGAUGCAUAGCCGACCUGAGAGGGUGAUAGGCCACACUGGAACGGAGACGCGGUCAAGACUCCUAAGGGAGGCAGCAGUAGGGAAUCGUCCGCAAUGGGGGAAAGCCUGACGGAGUAACGCCGCGUGAGUGAUGAAGGGCUUCGGAUCGUAAAACUCUGUUAUUAGGGAAGAACAGAUGUGUAAGUAACUGUGCACAUCUUGACGGUACCUAAUCAGAAAGCCACGGCUAACUACGUG